UGGGGAAUCGUGGGCAAUGGGCGCAAGCCUGACCCCGCAAUGCCGCGUGAGGGAAGAAGCCCUUCGGGGUGUAAACCUCUGUCAGAUGGGAAGAUGGGACUAGGAGCUAAUACCUCUUGGUCUUGACGGUACCAUCAGAGGAAGGGACGGCUAACUACGUGCCAGCAGCCGCGGUAAUACGAAGGGCCCGAGCGGUGCGCGAUGAUACUGGGCGUAAAGAGUACGUAGCUGGUUUCGUAAGCGGAUUGU
rnacentral:rRNA from 1 species